rnacentral:lncRNA from 1 species
CCACCCCACUGUGAGCUGAGCUCUCCUCUCUACCUGCUAGGUUUCUUUCCUGCAUCACAAAGGAGCUCACCUUUCUUCAUGUCCUGUUCCUCUAGUGUUUCUAGUAACUUCAGUAAGCGCUGGAGAUCAGAAAGAGGCAAAGACAUGUCAGGCAGGUCUCACCUGUGCUGAACUUCCACUAAAAUAUUCUGAGAAAUGAACUCCUCUGAGUAACAUUCCUGUGUUGCUUCAUAUUUUUCAUAGGCUGGAUUUUACUGCUUGCAACCCUUCUGGUAACAUCUGAUCUUGGAUAAUAUGUACAAAUUUUCAAAUUCUACACCACACUCUUCUUCCAGGAGCAUUCCAUAAAGCACAUUCCCCAAGUGAAAUCACUGUACAUACUUUGGUAAAUUUGUGUCAAUGAUAUCAUACACUUUCAAUAUUUGAAAUUUAUGGUUUGUGAAAUAUAACUCAAUAAAACUGUAAGAACUUGAAACUUGAAGUUUAACUUAAAUUGUUACAGAAUCUUGUUUAAAACUCAGGGCCUCCAAUGAAUUAGAAGCAGUGAAGAACAAUAGUGCUUCUCUCUAUGACUUUGUUUUAUUUUUCACCCACUCCUUCCUGAGGGCUCAGGCUUUGUUCCAAAGUCACUGCCCAGACCCAGACCAGACAUACUUCCAGCAUCUGAAUCCUCUCAUUCAUCUUUCUCAGAAGGUCGUCUCUUUCUCUCAUUUCCUUUGUGAGUUUGUCUCUAAAUCUCUCGAACGUUUUUUCUCGGUCCUCCAACUUUUGCUGCAAUUCUUUAACCAUUUGCUCAAGAAGCUUCUUUUCCCACAUAGCAUCCUCCCAUUGGGCCAGCAUUUCUGCUCCCGGAAGAUUUUAGAGAGAGAAGAGAAGAAAACAACAGUCAGCACUGAGAGCUACAAGCCCACAACCAACAACCCUUGCUUUCUGAGUAACCAAACUGUCUGGGCAAAGCAGAUGGACAUGUCUAAAUUCACCUGUGACCACACAUAAGGGCAGGUGCGAGAAUGUGCUAGAAAAGGGGAUGAUUGGUUGGACCUCUAACCACAAUUCACCUUGUUAUUUUCAGAUGUAGCAGAGUGUGUUCACAGAAGGAGAGGAAGCUCUAUUUCUGGAAGUUCCUCCUGUUGGAGUCAUAGAGGGCACUGCAGGAACCCACCCUACCAUGAGCUGAGUCUACCCUAUACCUGCUGAGGUCUUUUCUCUUUCUCUUUGCUUCUCUGUCUUUUUGACUCCUAAUUCCUCAGAGACCCUUUCUUGGUCUUCCAGGAACAUUCCAUAAAGCACAUUCCCAAGUGAAAUCACUAUACAUACUUUGGUAAAUUUGUAUCAAUCAUACAUGUACAUUUAAUUAAAUAUAGUUGUACAUUCAAAUCCGUGAAAUCUAUGGCUUGUGAAUUACAUCUCUAUGAAACUGUUUAAAUAAACCUGAAUCUCUGCAUCUCAGAAAAAAAGUGCUGAAAUACUAUAAGACAUACUGGUAAGUAUCUUUAUUCCUUGAGUUUCUAGGUGAAAUGUAGGGAUUUUAAUAUAAUGUCUAUAGUUCCUCACAGCUGUAGCUUCCUCAGAUUCUAUCUAUAGUGCAUGAAUAACAGCAAUACAACUAAAAGCAUAAUAAAGAUAAAGAAAGCUUUGGUAGGAGAAGCUCUGCAGAGGAGCUUGAUUUGCUCUGAAUGGGAGUAAGUACACAGUAAAAGUAACAAUCUCAAAAUAACUUGUCUUUUCUAAGCAUAUAAGGAAAUUAUGCAAGUGUUUAGUCAAGGAAGACAUCUGUACUGACAUUGCUUCAGAGGUCAGACAGAUGUCCAGAGAAAGUGCUUCAGUUUGGAAUAGAAUAUUAUAGUCUAUUAGAACUCUUUCAGAGAAAUCAGGAUCCCCUACAAUGAAUAGCACUAAAUCUGUGUCAACUGUUAAGAAAAUGAUGAGGUACUAUUUCAGUAACUUAUCCUACUUGCCUUAAACAUACUCAGAAUGUCUACUUGUUAAACCUGGGAGCCCCAUUUAAUACUGAUUCCAUGAGAUCAACCAGGAAUCUCUCAAAACAGCAGCACAAGGCUUGGAAAAGUUAUUUAUAUUCUAUAAAUGUUUGAGAUACCAAGGUCCUCAGGGACUCUUCAAAAACUGUGAACUGAACCCAAAUGACUGGAUAUAAGCCAUUACAAUCCCAGAGCUUCUAGUGAAUUGAAAGCAAAAGAGAAUAGUUCUUCUCUCUGUGAUUAUGCUUUAAUUUCCACCCACCCCUUCCUGAGGGCUCAGGCUUUGUUCCAAAGUCACUGCCCAGACCCAGACCAGACAUACUUCCAGCAUCUGAAUCCUCUCAUUCAUCUUUCUCAGAAGGUCGUCUCUUUCUCUCAUUUCCUUUGUGAGUUUGUCUCUAAAUCUCUCGAAGGUUUUUCUCGGUCCUCCAACUUUUGCUGCAAUUCUUUAACCAUUUGCUCAAGAAGCUCCUUUUCCCUCUCAGAUGGCUCUCCUUUAGUGCAUUCUGCUCAUCCAAGAAGUUUUUAGAGAGGAAAGAAAACAACAGUCAGCCCUGAGAGGUACAACCUCUACCCACUAAACCUUCACUUUCCCAGUGACCAAACUGUUGUGAAAAAGGAGAUGGUCAUGGCUGUAGUCACCUGUAACUACAUAUCAAGGGCAAGUUUAGGGAAUGACUGGUUGACUGGGCCUAAAACCACAAGCCACCUUAUUUUCAGAUGAAACAGAGCAUAUUCACAGAAGUUCCAGAAGUUCAUCCUGUCAGAGUUCUCAGAGGGGACUGCAGGAACCUCCCCACCCACAGUGAGCAGAGCCCUCCCCCAUACCUGCCAAGGUCUUGGCUGCAUUACAAAGCUCAUCUGUCUUCUUGCAGCAUUCCCCUAGCUCAUCCUUUAUCAUCCCCAAGAUCUGGAGACACAGAGAGGCAGACACGUCAGGCCGGUCAAACAUGAACUCCCAUUGAUAUAUUCUGAGAAAAGAACUAUUCUCAAUAAUAUUACCUGGUUGUGUUCAACUGCCUACAAGUUUCUAAAAUCCUGCCUACCUCACUAACUCUCCAGCCUCCUCUGCUAGUGUUGC